rnacentral:rRNA from 1 species
CCUACGGGUGGCAGCAGUGGGGAAUAUUGGGCAAUGGGCGCAAGCCUGAACCAGCAACGCCGCGUGAAGGAAGAAGGCUUUCGGGUUGUAAACUUCUUUUCUCAGGGACGAAGCAAGUGACGGUACCUGAGGAAUAAGCCACGGCUAACUACGUGCCAGCAGCCGCGGUAAUACGUAGGUUGCAAGCGUUAUCCGGAUUUACUGGGUGUAAAGGGAGUGUAGGCGGGAAAGCAAGUCAGAUGUGAAAACCAUGGGCUCAACCUGUGGCCUGCAUUUGAUACUGUUUUUCUUGAGUACUGGAGAGGCAGACGGAAUUCCUAGUGUAGCGGUGAAAUGCGUAGAUAUUAGGAGGAACACCAGUGGCGAAGGCGGUCUGCUGGACAGCAACUGACGCUGAGGCGCGAAAGCGUGGGGAGCAAACAGGAUUAGAUACCCUAGUAGUC